rnacentral:lncRNA from 1 species
AUAUCUGUACUUCAUUAAACCAGUUGUAGCUUGGUCUAUAUCUGUACUUCAUUAAACCAGUUGUAGCUUGGUCUAUAUCUGUACUUCAUUAAACCAGUUGUAGCUUGGUCUAUAUCUAUACUUCAUUAAACCAGUUGUAGCUUGGUCUAUAUCUGUUAAACCAGUUGUAGCUUGGUCUAUAUCUGUACUUCAUUAAACCAGUUGUAGCUUGGUCUAUAUCUAUACUUCAUUAAUCCAGUUGUAGCUUGGUCUAUAUCUGUACUUCAUUAAACCAGUUGUAGCUUGGUCUAUAUCAAUACUUCAUUAAACCAGUUGUAGCUUGGUCUAUAUCUAUACUUCAUUAAACCAGUUGUAGCUUGGUCUAUAUCUAUACUUCAUUAAUCCAGUUGUAGCUUGGUCUAUAUCUAUUAAACCAGUUGUAGCUUGGUCUAUAUCUGUACUUCAUUAAACCAGUUGUAUUUUGGUCUAUAUCAAUACUUCAUUAAACCAGUUGUAUUUUGGUCUAUAUCAAUACUUCAUUAAACCAGUUGUAUUUUGGUUAAUAUCUGUACAGUGAUAGCAGCAUACAGCAGUGAUAUCAGACUAGAGGUAGAGGUUAGCAGCAUACAGCAGUGAUAUCAGGCUAGAUGUUAGCGGCAUACAGCAGUGAUAUCAUGCUAGAGGUAGAGGUUAGCAGCAUACAGCAGUGAUAUCAGGCUAGAUGUUAGCAGGUUAGCGGCAUACAGCAGUGAUAUCAGGCUAGAGGUAGAGGUUAGCAGCAUACAGCAGUGAUAUCAGGCUAGAGGUAGAGGUUAGCAGCAUACAGCAGUGAUAUCAGGCUAGAUGUUAGCAGGUUAGCAGGAUACAGCAGUGAUAUCAGGCUAGAGGUAGAGGUUAGCAGGUUAGCAGCAUACAGCAGUGAUAUCAGGCUAGAUGUUAGCAGGUUAGCAGGAUACAGCAGUGAUAUCAGGCUAGAGGUAGAGGUUAGCAGCAUACAGCAGUGAUAUCAGGCUAGAGGUAGAGGUUAGCAGCAUAUGGCAGUGAUAUCAGGCUAGAUGUUAGCAGGUUAGCAGCAUACAGCAGUGAUAUCAGGCUAGAUGUUAGCAGGUUAGCAGCAUACAGCAGUGAUAUCAGGCUAGAUGUUAGCAGGUUAGCAGCAUACAGAAGUGAUAUCAGGCUAGAUGUUAGCAGGUUAGCAGCAUACAGCAGUGAUAUCAGGCUAGAUGUUAGCAGCAUACAGCAGUGAUAUCAGGCUAGAUGUUAGCAGGUUAGUAGGAUACAGCAGGGAUAUCAGACUAGAGGUAGAGGUUAGCAGCAUACAGCAGUGAUAUCAGGCUAGAGGUAGAGGUUAGCAGCAUACAGCAGUGAUAUCAGGCUAGAGCCAAGACAGUCUGUUAGGUUUAGUCUGCUGAACACCUUCAUCUCACGGUGAAUGCAGUCAUAGAACUAGAUCUUCUGUAAAACAUCACCUUGAUGUAUUUUACUUUAAUUAUCAAGGUCUUCUAUGCUCCCCAGUCUCAGUCGGUGGAUAGUUUUCGUUAGUUAGCUACUAACCAGUUAAAAUGUGAUUGUGUGUAACGGCUGUGUGAAGAAGUAGACCAAGGUGCAGCGUGUUGAGUGAUCAUAUUUCAUUUUAAUCGAGACACUUUG